rnacentral:rRNA from 1 species
AUUGAACGCUGGCGGCAUGCUUUACACAUGCAAGUCGAACGGUAACAGGCCGCAAGGUGCUGACGAGUGGCGAACGGGUGAGUAAUACAUCGGAACGUGCCUAGUAGUGGGGGAUAACUACUCGAAAGAGUGGCUAAUACCGCAUGAGAUCUACGGAUGAAAGCAGGGGAUCGUAAGACCUUGUGCUACUAGAGCGGCCGAUGGAAGAUCAGGUAGGUGGUGGGAUAAAAGCUUACCAAGCCGACGAUCUGUAGCUGGUAUGAGAGGACGAUCAGCCACACUGGGACUGAGGAACGGCCCAGACACCUACGGGGGGCAGCAGGGGGGAAUUAUGGACAAUGGGGGAAAGCGUGAUCCAGCAAUGCCGCGUGCAGGAUGAAGGCCUUCGGGUUGUAAACUGCUUUUGUACGGAACGAAAAGCCCUGGGUUAAUACCCUGGGGUCAUGACGGUACCGUAAGAAUAAGCACCGGCUAACUACGUGCCAGCCGCCGCGGUAAAAC